UUUGUCUGUUACGAUCGUGCUCAGUACGAUGUCGUCCAGUCCGGGGAACUCCGCUUUGUGUGUGGUUAGAGGGCGGUCAGAGUGUACGCAAUGUGUGUUGGAGCAGGGGUGACCACUGGGCCUCCAAGGGAGCCACGUGCAGACAUGUGCAACCUUCGAUCUCCCGACCUCUCGGAUCGACCAUGUUGAUCUAACUUCCUUAAGCCAGUUUCUGUCUGAUAUGCCAGCUUGAGCAGCUCUUGCACAUCUCGUUCCCUUGGGUAUCUAGCUGAUGGGAGCUCAUCUCUGUUUUCAUCUCAGGAUUGCUGUUGGCAGAAACUAGAAUUUGAAUGGACCCACAUGAAUCUGGGUGUGGGAAAGGAUUGCACACAGAUGGUUUAUUUUGGCAUCAUCUGUUAACGUCCUAUAGGUUCAGAAGCCAUGUGUGACAUUGUUGUCAGCCUGAUCUUCCUGUGGCUUUGUUCAGCGAGUCUUGUAACAGAAAGUUUAACUGGAGUUGGAACACAAGACAAGGCGUCUUGAAAGAAAGACUGACCCUGUUCUCCUGAAAGUGAAGCAGUUGUUCAAGGUUAUUGUAUAUGCAGCCUGAGUUCAAAAGGCUGUGCCCAUUCUUUGAAGAAUCAAUUAUUGUUAGACCUUGGUAAAAUUGUA